GGGGCUGAGGGGCGGAACUCCGAGCUGGGGGUCACAGGGGUUUCUGCGAGGAGCACUGACACCGGCGGUGGGUGGGGUGUCCUCGGGCAGCAGUUUGGACGCGCAGUACAGAGGUGUCCAAGCAGGCACAGCUUAUGGAGGUGCUGAAGAAGGAGGUGAGGGCGAUGCUGAUAGCUGCCAAAGCGGGCUUGACACCAGAGCAGCUGGAGGAGCAGUACACGGCCAUGGUCUGCAAACCUCUUCCUCUGGGCGACCUGGGCUUCCAGUCCACCUUGGAGCUGGUGACACAAAUGCCUGAAGUUGUCCGAAUCUCUUCUAAGAAUGGUAUUUUAAUGCUCAAAGCCAUUGCAGACGACUCCACCAAAGGGAUUGCUAAGCUGGUUGCCAACCAGAAAGCAAAAACACGUAAGGCAUCAAAGAAAACUGCUUCAAAGUCAAAUGCUACUUUUCCCACUAAGAACUCGAAGAAUCCACAGAGUUUCCAAACUCUGAGUGCUGGGACUCCUGUCCUGCCAGCAACAGUGAAGGCUGAGCUGCAGGACCUGCUGAGCUCCUCACCGCUUCUGCUCACGGACUUGGACAAGGCCUUCCUCAGACGCUUUGGCCGGGCGUUCCAGUACAGGCAGUACGGAUUUUUGUCCGUGUUUGAAGUCCUCAGGAGCAUGUCUGAUUCCAUUGUCAUUGAGCAGACAAAGACAGGUUCCUUGCUGGUCCUGAGGAAGUACUUAGCAAGGACCACAGAAAAGGAAGAGAUGCCUCAGGGUGAGGCUGAGGAGGAGGAGGUGCCUCAGGGUGAGGCUGAGGAGGAAGAGAUGCCUCAGGGUGAGGCUGAGGAGGAAGAGAUGCCUCAAGGUGAGGCUGAGGAGGAAGAGAUGCCUCACAGUGAGGCUGAAGAGGAAGAGGUGCCUCAAGAUGAGACACAAGAAGAAGAGAUGCCUCAAGCAUCUGCCUCUGAGAUGCCUCCUUUGGAACCCACCUGUGAGACAGAGAGCUUCUGCCAGGCAGCACAUCUGAUGGAUUCAGAGCCGGUGCAAACACAAGCAGUAGAUUUGGGUGAUCACCUCAAACAACACCAAGGUUUUGAGCAGCUUCCAUCGACUCCAGAAAUCCCUCCAGAUGCUGUUCAGAACAGGAGGCUUUGCAGUCUGCCGCCUCUGAAGAGAAGGUCCUUGGUGGGAGUCGUUGUGGAAUUCGUCGUCUCUCCUAGCCAGUUCUACAUCCACAUCUGCAGCACAGAAGCAUCCAAUAAACUGCAGGAUCUGAUGUUUGAGAUGAGACACGUUUACUCACAUAAAGUUGCAUCUGAUAAAUACAUCAUGCCCGAGUCUGCAGUGCGGCCUGGGCAGCUCUGCUGUGUCAUGGUCUCCACGUGGUGGUACCGUGUGAUCAUCCACCGUGUGAUCAACGACAGGGAGGUUGAGGUGUUCUAUGCAGACUAUGGACACCUGCAAAUUGUCCAGAAGUCUUCGCUGAGAUUCCUCAAGUGGCACUACUUGAAGCUCCCUGCUCAGGCCAUCCCGUGUUCCUUGGCGUGGGUAAAACCCGUGCAGGGUACAUGGUCCAGUGCAGCAGUCCUCCUGUUUAAGCAUCUCUGUCACUUCAAGAAACUUGUGGGCAUCGUGGAUGAAUAUGUGGAUGGUGUUCUGUACCUCUUCCUGUGUGACACAUCCACCAAGGAGGAUGUCUACUUCCACUCUGUCUUGAGAGAUACAGGAUAUGCUGAUGUCUGUGAAGAGAACGUUCCUUCCCAGGAAUUUGAGGAACUGAAUCCUUCAGCCUUGUAUAUUCAGCCCAUUGGAGAGCAGAGGAAUACUGAAGUGGCAGAGCAGAAAUCUCGAGAUGCAGUGAAACAGCAGCCUUGAAGCUGGAUGGGGCUGAGCUGUGACCAGAUGAAGAAAACAUGAAGACCGAGACCUUCCCGGGAGUCUCAUGGCUGGCCUCUGCGGUGCCCUGGGCUCUGUGAGCAGGGGUCACCUCAGGAACUGUGUGUCCCUCCUGCCCUGCUCUCUGCAGGGUUGGCAGCUGCAUGAUUGGCCACUUCCCAUGCCUGCUUCCAGUGGCUGCCCAGCCUGACAAGGAAGGUGUGAUAAGAGGGGAGAAGCUGGAGCUGCUGCCAGGGAAGGCUGUCUGGAGCAGCACAGGCUCUCUAUGACCGUGCUGUCGGGGCCUUUUUUUUUCUGUUGUUCAGAAACGUUUAAUCCCUUGAAAACACCUGGAGUGUGAUGUCUCAGGUGUGCCCAGCAGGUGUGAUAAAUGUUAGCUUUACUUUCAGGAAAAUAGUUUGGUUUUGCUGUACCAGUGGUGUACUGAGUUACUGCUCUUUAACAUAAUGUUUCAGGAGAACAUCCAAGUGUCACAUUGUGUUAUGCAUCCUUUAAGUUUAGGAGAGGGAAAGUGGCUGCCCAUCCCUCCCUCCUUCAGUGCAUGGGCUGUUUUGACAUUGUGUGUUUUGGUUUUUAACGCAGUGACUGCUCUACACACUCCUUGCUGUGAGGAGAGCCAAAGAAACCUCCUUCCCUAAGAAGAAGAUGCUGUGAUUUGUUGGAUGUCGUGUACAAAGUGUCAGGAAUCUUAUGUUAAAGAUACAGAAUAAAACCCGUAAGGAAUCCAGUGAGAGAGAGCCUGAAGUUUGACCAUGCCUGUGUAGCUCCUUGCCCGUGGCAGGUGAUCCUAAUGGGUGUUAAUGCAGAGAAAAGCUGUGAAAACAGAAGAGCCCUGGUUAGGAACACUGGCACCCAGCUGCUUUUCUGGUACCUGGAGUGUUCCUCACAUCUUCAGGGGCUUCAAGGGCCAUUCUGUGCCCACCUGCAACCAUGCUCUGCAAACCACCAAGAAAAGUGCUUGGUUAGUUUGCCAUGCACUUUCAA